rnacentral:lncRNA from 1 species
CCCCGCUGAGGCCUUGUUUAGUUGAUAAUUUUUUUUGAUUUUGAGUACUGUAGUACUUUUAUUUUGCACUAUGAUAAAUAUUGUUUAAUCAAAAACUAGCUAUGCUUAAAAGAUUCGUCUCGCAAAUUACAGAUAAACUGUGUAAUUAGUUUUUGUUUUCGUCUAUAUUUAAUGCUUAUUCAUGUGCCGUAAGAUCCGAUAUGAUGAGAAAUCUUGAAAUUUUUUUAGAUUUUUUUAGGAACUAAACAAGGCCUGAAUCAGAUCCGAAAUGUUACUUGCACCGAAUUUGUUUUCAUAUUUUUGUUAGUUUGGAAUAAGAUAUGAAUAAUAUAGAAUACCAAAUAUGAAUUUGUCUAGGCUACAAACUCAAAUAAAUGUGUGUCGAAUAUAGGAUGAGCCGGAUUCGAACAAUGUCAAUCACAAAAACUUCUUUGAAUAUUGAGUAAAUUCAACCCUCAUAUAUAUCACAUGUUUUUAAUUCUUAAUAAAGAGACGU